rnacentral:rRNA from 1 species
GAUGAACGCUGGCGGCGUGCCUAAUACAUGCAAGUCGAGCGAACGGACGAGAAGCUUGCUUCUCUGAUGUUAGCGGCGGACGGGUGAGUAACACGUGGAUAACCUACCUACAAGACUGGGAUAACUUCGGGAAACCGGAGCUAAUACCGGAUGAUAUUUUGAACCGCAUGGUUCAAAAGUGAAAGACGGUCUUGCUGUCACUUAUAGAUGGAUCCGCGCUGCAUUAGCUAGUUGGUAAGGUAACGGCUUACCAAGGCAACGAUGCAUAGCCGACCUGAGAGGGUGAUCGGCCACACUGGAACUGAGACACGGUCCAGACUCCUACGGGAGGCAGCAGUAGGGAAUCUUCCGCAAAGGGCGAAAGCCUGACGGAGCAACGCCGCGUGAGUGAUGAAGGUCUUCGGAUCGUAAAACUCUGUUAUUAGGGAAGAACAUAUGUGUAAGUAACUGUGCACAUCUUGACGGUACCUAAUCAGAAAGCCACGGCUAACUACGUG